CACUGCUGGAUGCAUGGCUGGUUGAAAACUCUAGGAACCAGCAAUCUCAAUGACUGAAGAAAGAUGAGUUGGAUAAGAAAAAGUGAAAGAAGAACAUCUCAGGAUGGGGCAAUAUUUGGUGAGCACCAUAUUGGAUUCUACCAAAUUACAAAUAUGUUCCAGGUAAGAGCUAUGUCCAUUCAACUGCACUUUGAGAUGUUAGAUUUAAUGCAAGGCUAAUGAGGCCAAGCCAUAGGUUUCAUUUUCACAGGAGCCAAUUAGCCUUACUAACUACUAUAUCCACAGAUUUUACCCCAAUCCUGCUUUCCCACCUUGCAAAUGAGUGCCAGGGGUCAUAAGGAAGACGGAAAGAGAACACAGAGAGUGCAG
rnacentral:lncRNA from 13 species